AGCGAACGCUGGCGGCAGGCUUAACACAUGCAAGUCGAGCGGGCACUUCGGUGUCAGCGGCAGACGGGUGAGUAACACGUGGGAACGUACCCUUUGGUUCGGAAUAACGCUGGGAAACUAGCGCUAAUACCGGAUACGCCCUUUUGGGGAAAGGCUUGCUGCCGAAGGAUCGGCCCGCGUCUGAUUAGCUAGUUGGUGGGGUAAUGGCCUACCAAGGCGACGAUCAGUAGCUGGUCUGAGAGGAUGAUCAGCCACACUGGGACUGAGACACGGCCCAGACUCCUACGGGAGGCAGCAGUGGGGAAUAUUGGACAAGGGGCGCAAGCCUGAUCCAGCCAGGCCGCGUGAGUGAUGAAGGCCUUAGGGUUGUAAAGCUCUUUUGUCCGGGACGAUAAUGACGGUACCGGAAGAAUAAGCCCCGGCUAACUUCGUG
rnacentral:rRNA from 1 species